rnacentral:rRNA from 1 species
UACAGAGGGGGCAAGCGUUGUUCGGAAUUACUGGGCGUAAAGGGCGCGUAGGCGGCCGCCUAAGUCAGACGUGAAAUCCCUCGGCUCAACCGGGGAACUGCGUCUGAUACUGGGUGGCUUGAAUCCGGGAGAGGGAUGCGGAAUUCCAGGUGUAGCGGUGAAAUGCGUAGAUAUCUGGAGGGACACCGGUGGCGAAGGCGGCAUUCUGGACUGUAACUGACACUGAUGAACGAAAGCCAGGGGAGCAAACGGG